GUGGGGAAUCUUCCGCAAUGGACGAAAGUCUGACGGAGCAACGCCGCGUGAGUGAUGAAGGUCUUCGGAUUGUAAAGCUCUGUUAAUCGGGACGAAAGAGCCUAGUGUGAAUAAUGCUAGGAAGUGACGGUACCGGAAUAGAAAGCCACGGCUAACUACGUGCCAGCAGCCGCGGUAAUACGUAGGUGGCAAGCGUUGUCCGGAAUUAUUGGGCGUAAAGCGCGCGCAGGCGGAUCUGCCAGUCUGUCUUAAAAGUUCGGGGCUUAACCCCGUGAUGGGAUGGAAACUACAGAUCUAGAGUAUCGGAGAGGAAAGUGGAAUUCCUAGUGUAGCGGUGAAAUGUGUAGAUAUUAGGAAGAACACCAGUGGCGAAGGCGACUUUCUGGACGAAAACUGACGCUGAGGCGCGAAAGCCAGGGGAGCGAACGGGAUUAGAUACCCUGGUAGUCC
rnacentral:rRNA from 1 species